GUCCGUUUUACUCAGCCAAUAUUGCGGUGCGGUGUGAGAAGAGCAUCAGCAUUCAUGUGAUCAACAGGGCCAUGAGUGUUCGAGAAUAAAAAAACCACAUUCAAGCGCAACAGCAAUCCAGUGCAGCAGGUAGAAUAUAGAAGAGAACAAGARACAGUCCGUGCUUUGGGCAGCCUGGAACCCACAUGCAAGAGCUCCAGCAAGAUCAGCGCUGUGUCUCAGCAUCUCCAGCCAACAGCAGUUGCUUCUCUGUCCAAAGCAUCCCACAACACUGCGAUUCAGAGUCCUAACUCUUCCCCAGCACACAAUGGGGCCCCACCGCAGAGAACAUGAGCUUGGCACGCAACUUGGAAACCAUUUCUCUCCCAUAUAUUUAGCCA
rnacentral:lncRNA from 1 species